rnacentral:rRNA from 1 species
AUUGAACGCUGGCGGCAGGCUUAACACAUGCAAGUCGAACGAGUGGCGGACGGGUGAGUAAUGCUUGGGAAUCUGCCUGAUGGAGGGGGAUAACUACGGGAAACGGUAGCUAAUACCGCAUACCAUCGGAUGAGCCCAAGUGGGAUUAGCUUGUUGGUGGGGUAAAGGCUCACCAAGGCGACGAUCUCUAGCUGGUCUGAGAGGAUGACCAGCCACACUGGGACUGAGACACGGUCCAGACUCCUACGGGAGGCAGCAGUGGGGAAUAUUGCGCAAUGGGGGCAACCCUGAUGCAGCCAUGCCGCGUGAAUGAAGAAGGCCUUCGGGUUGUAAAGUUCUUUCGGUAGGGAGGCGUUAACUGCAGAAGAAGCACCGGCUAACUCCGUGCCAGCAGCCGCGGUAAUAC